rnacentral:misc_RNA from 1 species
ACAAACUUGGUCAUUUAGAGGAAGUAAAAGUCGUAACAAGGUUUCCGUAGGUGAACCUGCGGAAGGAUCAUUAUUGAUUGAUAAAGGGAUGUGCUGGCAAAAAUACCACUUUGCAUUGUGCACUCCUGAAAUCUUCAUCCACUUUUUUGUGCACGUUGUAGACAAAGCUGCUUUUUGGCUUUUGUCUAUGUUUUUAUUACACAUUCAUCAGUCAUUUAAUGAUUUGUGACUAUUAGUCAAAUUUAAUACAACUUUCAACAACGGAUUUCUUGGUUCUCGCAUCGAUGAAGAACGCAGC